rnacentral:rRNA from 1 species
UGGGAACCUUCCCUAUGGUUCGGAAUAGCCCAGGGAAACUUGGGGUAAUACCGGAUAAGCCCUUCGGGGGAAAGAUUUAUCGCCAUUGGAUGGGCCUGCGUACCAUUAGCUAGUUGGUAGGGUAACGGCCUACCAAGGCAAAGAUGGUUAGCUGGUCUGAGAGGAUGAUCAGCCACACUGGAACUGAGACACGGUCCAGACUCCUACGGGAGGCAG